rnacentral:rRNA from 1 species
UACGGAGGGAGCGAACGUUGUUCGGAUUCACUGGGCGUAAAGGGCGUGUAGGCGGUCUGGCAAGUCAGGGGUGAAAUGCCACGGCUCAACCGUGGAAUUGCCUUUGAAACUGCCGGACUUGAGGCCGUGAGAGGAGACUGGAAUUCCCAGUGUAGCGGUGAAAUGCAUAGAUAUUGGGAAGAACACCAGUGGCGAAGGCGAGUCUCUGGCACGGUUCUGACGCUGAGGCGCGAAAGCUAGGGGAGCAAACGGG